UGGGGAAUAUUGGACAAUGGGGGAAACCCUGAUCCAGCAACGCCGCGUGGAGGAUGAAGGUCUUCGGAUUGUAAACUCCUGUUAGGGGGGACGAAGGGAUGUCGGCAAACAGCCGGCAAACUUGACGGUACCCCCAGAGGAAGCCCCGGCUAACUCUGUGCCAGCAGCCGCGGUAAUACAGAGGGGGCAAGCGUUAUUCGGAAUUAUUGGGCGUAAAGGGCGCGUAGGCGGCCUUGUAAGUCUUGGGUGAAAUCCCUCAGCUCAACUGAGGAACUGCCUCGGAAACUGCAAGGCUUGAGGCCGGGAGAGGGUAGUGGAAUUCCCAGUGUAGCGGUGAAAUGCGUAGAUAUUGGGAGGAACACCGGUGGCGAAGGCGGCUACCUGGACCGGUUCUGACGCUGAUGCGCGAAAGCGUGGGUAGCAAACAGG
rnacentral:rRNA from 1 species